rnacentral:rRNA from 1 species
UACGUAGGGUGCAAGCGUUGUCCGGAAUUAUUGGGCGUAAAGAGCUCGUAGGCGGUUCGUCGCGUCGGCUGUGAAAUCCCGAGGCUCAACCUCGGGUCUGCAGUCGAUACGGGCGGACUGGAGUUCGGCAGGGGAGACUGGAAUUCCUGGUGUAGCGGUGAAAUGCGCAGAUAUCAGGAGGAACACCGGUGGCGAAGGCGGCUUUCUGGUCUGUAACUGACGCUGAGGCGCGAAAGCGUGGGGAGCAAACAGG